GUGGAUUUCUGGCUCAGUGGUUAAGAGCACUGACUGCCCUUCCAGAGGUCCUGAGUUCAAAUCCCAGCAACCACA
rnacentral:tRNA from 1 species